UUCUCCUACUGAAACAUCAACGAGGGAACCUCUCCUCAUAAUCUAAUUGCCCCGACUCCCACCCGCAUCUCUCUCCUCAAACGACACAAACUCCAUGUGGUGAUGGAUGCAACUGAGCCCAGCCUCCUGUAGGGUUUGCGUCUGCCAUCGGGAUGAGAACCGGCGGCCAUGGCGGCUUGCGGGGCAAAGGAAGGAUUGGAAGACAAUCAAUCUGGAGGGUGUGUGGGACUUUAUGCAGAGGGGCGUCCACAUGCUCAUCAACAUUCUCGAUGGCCAGAGCCCGAGCACAACUUCGAGUACUACAUGAUGCAUCUGAAGAUUCUGAACAUGUUAGUGAUGGCUGGCUUUCCUACAUUUGUCGAUUUUAAAUUCAGUUAAACAAGAUAGUAUGUAUUUCAAAGACGUGUGCUUGCAUGGGUUUGAUACUUCCCUUUAUACCCGAUUGCAUAGGAAAACAAGAUCAGAGCAUAAUUCUACUUGGCAUUGGUGGCUGGGGUCAACAGGUUCAGUGAUUGUUCUUAUACUUUUGCUUCAGAAGGAAAUCGUGGAUCAUGAUCUUGCGGAGCAGAUGGAGGAGCCCAUGGCCCAGCAGCUGGAAGCGGACAUCAAUGCUCUGGUUUAUAACAAGCAGCAACUGGCCCUGCGAGCAAAAGCCACUAUCCAUCAAUGACAAGAAAGAGGAGGUCCAAAGGAAGGUGUGCAGAUUCCUACCAUGUGUCAUCAUGAUUUCUUUUAUUUCUUCUGUGAGCCCAAAACUCUAUUAUGGUACUAUGAUUACGUUCAAUUUGGUUGAAACAUGGAAUGGCAUGGCAUAUGAUUAGUAAUUUAGGUUCUGUGUGUGACAUUGCA